UGCAAGUCGAGCGGUAGCACAGAGAGCUUGCUCUCGGGUGACGAGCGGCGGACGGGUGAGUAAUGUCUGGGAAACUGCCUGAUGGAGGGGGAUAACUACUGGAAACGGUAGCUAAUACCGCAUAAUGUCGCAAGACCAAAGUGGGGGACCUUCGGGCCUCAUGCCAUCAGAUGUGCCCAGAUGGGAUUAGCUAGUAGGUGGGGUAACGGCUCACCUAGGCGACGAUCCCUAGCUGGUCUGAGAGGAUGACCAGCCACACUGGAACUGAGACACGGUCCAGACUCCUACGGGAGGCAGCAGUGGGGAAUAUUGCACAAUGGGCGCAAGCCUGAUGCAGCCAUGCCGCGUGUGUGAAGAAGGCCUUCGGGUUGUAAAGCACUUUCAGCGGGGAGGAAGGCGGUGAGGUUAAUAACCUCGUCGAUUGACGUUACCCGCAGAAGAAGCACCGGCUAACUCCGUGCCAGCAGCCGCGGUAAUACGGAGGGUGCAAGCGUUAAUCGGAAUUACUGGGCGUAAAGCGCACGCAGGCGGUCUGUCAAGUCGGAUGUGAAAUCCCCGGGCUCAACCUGGGAACUGCAUUCGAAACUGGCAGGCUAGAGUCUUGUAGAGGGGGGUAGAAUUCCAGGUGUAGCGGUGAAAUGCGUAGAGAUCUGGAGGAAUACCGGUGGCGAAGGCGGCCCCCUGGACAAAGACUGACGCUCAGGUGCGAAAGCGUGGGGAGCAAACAGGAUUAGAUACCCUGGUAGUCCACGCCGUAAACGAUGUCGAUUUGGAGGUUGUGCCCUUGAGGCGUGGCUUCCGGAGCUAACGCGUUAAAUCGACCGCCUGGGGAGUACGGCCGCAAGGUUAAAACUCAAAUGAAUUGACGGGGGCCCGCACAAGCGGUGGAACAUGUGGUUUAAUUCGAUGCACCGCGAAGAACCUUACCUGGUCUUGACUUCACCGAACUUUCCAAAAUGGAUUGGUGCCUUCGGAACUGGGAAACGGGGCUGCUGGCUG
rnacentral:rRNA from 1 species